UUAUAAUGAUGGCGGAUAGCUGAAAGGAACCCCCAAGUCAAAUGGAAAGGGCAUUCACCAAACAAUACACCACUUACCAAAUCAAUCUUCUUUCCAUCACAGUUCUAAGGAACUUACUUUUUGAGUCCAUGAAUUCAAUCCGACCAAAAUGAAAACUUCAACUACACUAACUAAUCAAAUUAAUAGAAUCCAAAUUCUUUUUGAAAACGAAACAAAUCAAGUCAUUCUCAUGAUAUGGGUGAUCACCAUCAGAUUUUAACAGUGGAUGCGGUUUUGGUUAUGAUGUUCCAAACCAUAGUUCUGCCCUUCAUGGUGGUUGUUUGGGCAGUCAUAGGUGUACCUGCAGAAUCAUAAAGUACGAAUUCCAAACCUAAAAUGUUGUGAGAACCGGUCGUCGAAGCAUCAAUUUUUUUAACCCAUUCAGGCUCAUUCUGCGUGCAUGGCUGCUAGUUGAUCAGAAAAAGAAAUGCAGUGUUCGAAUCUUCCGACUGCUUUCAAAGCAUUCCCUCUUGCAAGAUUGUUGAUAAUUAGACAACGAACCUGUACUCAAGGAAGCUUUUGAGCAACACGGAGAAAUCAUUGAAGUUAAGGUUAUAUGUGAUCAUCGGAGUGGGGAAUCAAAAGGGUAUGGUUUGUGCAGUUCCUGUCUGAAAAGUCAGCUAGCACAGCUUUAGAAGAAUUGAGCGGUCAGUUAUUAGAUGGUAGAAACAUACGCGUAUUCUACGCAAGCAAAGAUGGAUGACAGAAACUGUGACAUACAAGGUUUGCUGACUUAAUGAUUGAAUGUGCUAUCUGAGCUCAAAUUUAGAUGAAAAUGGUCAUCCAAGUAUCAGGAAGUUUCACCUCUGAUAGGAGAUAGAAUAAGAAAAAUCCAGACUUCAGUCUUUCAAUAAAAACGUUGUAGAAUCUUCGUACGAUGUCGGAUUUUCGCGAUCUACCCAUGUUUUUUCAUGCCCAGGAGA